rnacentral:rRNA from 1 species
UACAGAGGUCUCAAGCGUUUGUUCGGAUUCAUUGGGCGUAAAGGGUGCGUAGGCGGCGCGGUAAGUCGGGUGUGAAAUCUCGGGGCUUAACUCCGAAACUGCAUUCGAUACUGCCGUGCUUGAGGACUGGAGAGGAGACUGGAAUUUUACGGUGUAGCGGUGAAAUGCGUAGAUAUCGUAAGGAAGACCAGUGGCGAAGGCGGGUCUCUGGACA